CAAGACCCAAACAAAUCCCUUCGAGAUCCGGUCUAUUAUCGUUGCAAUCCUGUCCCUCACCAUCGAAUUGGGUCCAAGUACAAUAUAUAUCCAACAUAUGACUUUGCCUGUCCCUAUGUUGAUGCCAUAGAAGGUAUAUCUCAUGCUCUUCGAUCAAGUGAGUACCAUGAUCGAAAUGCUCAAUAUCACAGGAUUCAGGAAGAUUUGGGAGUUAGAAAGGUUCAUAUUUAUGAAUUUAGCAGGUUGAACAUGGUCUAUACACUUCUUAGUAAGCGUAACCUUCGCUGGUUUGUUGAAAAUGGAAAGGUUGAUGGAUGGGAUGAUCCUCGGUUUCCAACUGUCCAAGGAAUUGUACGUAGAGGUUUGAAAGUUGAGGCAUUAGUGCAAUUUAUUCUUGAACAGGGGGCAUCGAAAAAUCUCAACCUCAUGGAAUGGGACAAACUUUGGACAAUUAAUAAGAAAAUCAUAGAUCC
rnacentral:misc_RNA from 1 species